rnacentral:rRNA from 1 species
GACGAACGCUGGCGGCGUGCUUAACACAUGCAAGUCGAACGGUGAAAGCGGAGCUUGCUCCGCUGGAUCAGUGGCGAACGGGUGAGUAACACGUGGGCAACCUGCCCCUCACUUCGGGAUAACUCCGGGAAACCGGGGCUAAUACCGGAUAUGACCUCCUUGGGCAUCCUUGGAGGUGGAAAGUUUUUCGGUGAGGGAUGGGCCCGCGGCCUAUCAGCUUAUUGGUGAGGUAGUGGCGCACCAAGGCGACGACGGGUAGCCGGCCUGAGAGGGCGACCGGCCACACUGGGACUGAGACACGGCCCAGACUCCUACGCGAGGCAGCGGUGGGGAAUAUUGCGCAAUGGGCGAAAGCCUGACGCAGCAACGCCGCGUGCGGGAUGAAGGCCUUCGGGUUGUAAACCGCUUUCAGCAGGGAAGAAGCCGCAAGGUGACGGUACCUGCAGAAGAAGCACCGGCUAACUACGUGCCAGCAGCCGCGGUAA